rnacentral:rRNA from 1 species
UACAGAGGUCCCAAGCGUUGUUCGGAUUCACUGGGCGUAAAGGGUGCGUAGGUGGUGAGGUAAGUCGGAUGUGAAAUCUCCGGGCUCAACCCGGAAAUGGCAUUGGAAACUACCUUGCUGGAGGAUUUGAGGGGGGAUUGGAAUGACUUGGUUGGUAGCAGUGAAAUGCGUAGAUAUCAAGUGGAACACCAGUGGCGAAGGCGAAUCCCUGGAAAAUACCUGACACUGAGGCACGAAAGCUAGGGGAGCAAACAGG